GCUAAUCCGGGGCAGGGAGCGCGGGUAAGACGGAGGGUGGGGGCUUUAAUCGGAAUUACUGGGCGUAAAGGGGGCGUAGGCUGUUGGGUCAGUCAGCCGUGAAAGCCCUGGGCUUAACCUGGGAAUGGCGGUUGAGACGGCCAGACUAGAGUGGGCUAGAGGAUCGUGGAAUUCCGGGUGUAGCAGUGAAAUGCGUAGAGAUCCGGAGGAACACCGAUGGCGAAGGCAGCGAUCUGGGGCCACACUGACGCUGAGGCACGAAAGCGUGGGGAGCAAACAGGAUUAGAUACCCUUGUAGUC
rnacentral:rRNA from 1 species